GGGAGUGAAAAGGUACCUGGUGGGCCUCCUGGACUUCAAAUCCAGUGUGGGGCUUUAAACGGUCCCGGUUGGGUUCGAUUCCCACUCACUCCCGCCA
rnacentral:tRNA from 1 species